rnacentral:rRNA from 1 species
CCUUUGGCGUUAGCGGCGGACGGGUGAGUAACACGUGGGUAACCUACCUAUAAGACUGGGAUAACUUCGGGAAACCGGAGCUAAUACCGGAUAAUAUUUCGAACCGCAUGGUUCGAUAGUGAAAGGUGGUUUUGCUAUCACUUAUAGAUGGACCCGCGCCGUAUUAGCUAGUUGGUAAGGUAACGGCUUACCAAGGCGACGAUACGUAGCCGACCUGAGAGGGUGAUCGGCCACACUGGAACUGAGACACGGUCCAGACUCCUACGGGAGGCAGCAGCC